AUGACUUCCGGAGAGCUACAAGAAGAGAGAGACGCAUUGGAGGUGUGUCUACUGAAUUUAAUUUAUGAAAUGAUCUGUAUUUCCUCUCUGAGCUGCACCGCGAAGGAGACAGGGACGAGCGGCAGGCCGGCGACCAGCUGCGCAUCUCUCUUCUUCGUUGCUGAUUCCUGCCCAGGAUUUGCAACCAGGAUGUUGUGCGCAGUUUUCUUCUCUCAUUGCGCGUCGGACAACGACACGACAUUCGGCAUGUUUUUCCGGGAUCCGAAUGAAAGACUUGUGCUACUGCCAUGCUCUGUGACAGAGCGUUUCCCCAAGCACUUUGCUAGUGACUUUCUGAACUUUCGAGCUCAUGGCCACCGGUACGUUGUUUAUGUGUACACAGGAUCUGACAACAAGAAACGUAUCGGUGGCGAUGACUUGUCGAAGUUCAUGAAGGACUUCAACUUGGGGCUUGGGCAGCUUGUUGUUUUUGUGAUGACUGGGUGCAUUGCAAAAGCAUUUGUCUGCUCCUUCGGUGCUGGCUUUAUUGAUGGAGGUGGAGCUGGAGUAGCACAACAAGAGGAAGAGCAAGGAGGUGCUGACGAAGAGGGACAUGUGGAUGAGGAGGGGAUUGACGUAGAGAUCAUGGGAGAAGCACCCAUAGGCAUCAUAUACAGCAUGGGUGUAAGUUUGGAUUUGGAGGAGGAAGGCCGUCUUGCCAUGAUGAUUGACAUUGAGCAGGGGAACAUUGCUUCACGGUUUGUUCAUCGGUUCACAAGCACCAACAUCAUGAAGAAGUCAAUGAAAAUCCCAAACCAAGUGUGUGUGCUCCUGAAUAUUGGAGCUGAAGGAUUUAUUGGAGUUCGCUUGGGAGAAGGCCCGCUCUCAAGGGUUGCAUUCAAAACAGCCAAGGAUGGACGCAUGGUGUUCAAUAAGGAGUGGGGAGUUUUCGUGUCAACCUACAACUUGCAAGUAGGGAGUGCUGCUAUGUUCACCUUCAGUAGGAGCAAUGCUGCCCCCUUUGAUGUGGUCUGUGUUGUUGACAUCCUGAGCAUAUGA
rnacentral:rRNA from 1 species